rnacentral:lncRNA from 1 species
AAAUCCGGUCAGGUCUGCUCAAAAUGCGUCCAGGUUUGCUCAAAUGCACCCAAAACCUGGUCAGGUGUGGUUAAAUCUGCCCAAAAUCCACCCAAAAUCCGGCCAGGUCUGCUGAAAUCCCCUUAAAUGCACCCAAAAUUCACCCAGGUCUGCAAAAAAUGCACAAAAUCUGCACAAAAUUCACCCAAAAUCCAGCCAGGUUUGCUCAAAUCUGCCUAAAAUCUGCUCAGGUUUGCUCAAAAUCCACCCAAAUCCACCCAGGUCUGUUCAAAAUUCACCCAAAUCUGUUCAAAAUUCACCCAGAUCCUCCCAAAUCCACUCAAAAUUCACCGAAAUUCACCCAAAAUCCACUCAGUCUGUUCAAAAUCCACUUAAAUGCACCCAAAUCUUCCCAAAAUUUGGUCAAAUCCACCCUGAUCCACCCAGGUCUGCUCAAAAUCCACCUAAAUGCACCCAAAAUUCACCUAAAUCUGCCCAAAAUCCACCCAAAAUUCACCCAGAUCAUCCUAAAUCCACUCAAAAUUCACCAAAAUUCAAAAUUCACCCAAAUGCACCCAAAAUCCGAGGUUGGAGGGAAAAGUUGGGUUCACACCAAGGAAAGGAGAGAAUUUGCACCAAAAAUUGAAAUUUCAGCCCCAAAAAGUGAAAAUUCAGCCAAAAAAAAGGAAAAUUUAACCCUGGAAAAUGGAAUUGGAGGCAAAUUGAGCCCAAAAAAAUCCAAAUUGACACCAAGAAAUCUCAAAUCCCACCCUAAAAAAGCAAAUUUGGUUCGCACCAACUCAAAUCCUCCCUAAAAUCCAAAUUCAUCCCCGAAAAAAUCAAAUCUGACCAAAAAUCCCCAAAAAUCCCCAAAAAUUCCCUGGGAUUGGCCCCGAAUUUUGGGGCAAUUUUGGGGCAAUUUUGUCCCUUUUUGGGUCCUUCCUCAGCCAUAAAAUUGUAAAUAAAUCCCAAAUUCUCCCCA